CCUACGGGGGGCAGCAGUGUGGAAUAUUGCGCGAUGGGCGAAAGCCUGACGCAGCGACGCCGCGUGAGGGAUGAAGGUCUUCGGAUCGUAAACCUCUGUCAGCAGGGAAGAACGGUCACUGUGCUAAUCAGCAGUGAAUUGACGGUACCUGCAAAGGAAGCACAGGCUAACUCCGUGCCAGCAGCCGCGGUAAUACGGGGGGUGCGAGCGUUAGUCGGAAUUACUGGGCGUAAAGCGCUCGUAGGCGGUAGGUCAAGUCAAGGGUUACAUCCCCGCGCUCAACGUGGGAACUGCCUUUGAAACUGGCAAACUUGAGUGUGUGAGAGGAUAGUGGAAUUCCAGGUGUAGGAGUGAAAUCCGUAGAUAUCUGGAGGAACAUCAGUGGCGAAGGCGACUAUCUGGCACAUAACUGACGCUGAGGAGCGAAAGCGUGGGUAGCAAACAGGAUUAGAUACCCCAGUAGUC
rnacentral:rRNA from 1 species